rnacentral:rRNA from 1 species
UACGUAGGGUGCAAGCGUUGUCCGGAAUUAUUGGGCGUAAAGAGCUCGUAGGCGGUUCGUCGCGUCGGCUGUGAAAACCCGAGGCUCAACCUCGGGCCUGCAGUCGAUACGGGCGGACUGGAGUUCGGCAGGGGAGACUGGAAUUCCUGGUGUAGCGGUGAAAUGCGCAGAUAUCAGGAGGAACACCGGUGGCGAAGGCGUGUCUCUGGGCCGAUACUGACGCUGAGGAGCGAAAGCGUGGGGAGCGAACAGG